rnacentral:lncRNA from 1 species
GGCCUCAGUGCCAGGGUAGCCCCAACCUACCCUCAGUCUACGCCCACCAAGCUACCCUCAUCAUUAUUUGCAGUGCAGGUAUAUCUGGCUCUUCCUGGGCCUGCAUUUGACUGAGAAUCUAAGACUAAAAAACUGUAGCCUGUCUCUUUCUUGCUGACUUGCAAUUUCUAUCUUACUGAAAUAGGAAAUUAACUGAAAUGUAGUUUUUCCCCUUGAGGGGAGGUGUUCCUAUUUUGGCAGGCCAUGAAAGAUGUCCUGUUGGAAACUGAAACUCAACAAAUAAGACACUUUCAUUUAAUGGCCUCUGCACAAACAUUUAUUGAGUCCUCUUUACAGGCUUAUAUUCCUUCCCAAAGCAUCUCCUCUUUUGGUUUCCCAUUUCUGUUGAUGGCACCAACGUUUUCCUCUUCCUUGGAUGAAAUUAAACAACAGCACAUUUUGAAAUGCAAAAAUUCAGGGAAGAAUUUCUAAGAGAACCAAUAGGUGCAUUUAUGUGAGUUUUAAUUGCCACUUUUUUCUUUGUCAAAUCACAUUUGAUUUCUUCCACUCUCCUUUCCUUCUCUCCCUUUUUUUCUCCUUUCUCUUGCCUCUCUCUCCCACUCUUUCAGAACAUUCUUUGCAUAAGUGGAGGGCUUGCUUAAAGAUCCACCUCUGGGAUUCAUUUCUAUGAAAUGGUACUGGCAAGUUCUGGUUUUUGAAGGUUUUAUAUGUAUGGCAGCUCAUCACAAAAGGAAUCUGGCAUUUCCUCUCCUUUAAAUUAUCCAUUUUUUUCUGGCCUGCCAAUGUGCAAACUGUUUAUGCCAGGAAUGUUUAGUAGCUAACCAGUCAAGACCUUGGGUUUCAGGGUUCUAUUUAGUUGAUACCCUCAUGUUUUUUGAAGCACUGAUGGCAGAACAACACUGAGUUAGCCUUUCAUGAAUAAAAGUCUUGGUAAGCAACUUAAGAAUAUUAUGUAAGGGGAAAAAAAUCAACUUAAAAAUUGCCAGAAUUCUAUUUCUCUAACAAGUUGACCUUUGCUCUUGUCACAUUUGCAAGUUUCUGUCAAAUAUGCACACAUAGUUUUGAUUGAAUUGUAAUCAGUGCAUAGAUCCAUUUUUACAUUCUGCCUUUAUUCUAUCUAUUGUAAACAGUUAUCCAUCUUGCCAUGUAAUUUUAUUUUUAUAACAAGUAUUGAGCAGCUACUGUAUUAAAAAAGAGAAUGAGACUGUGUUGGAUAGACAUCUGGAAUCAACUAGACCAGGGUUCAAGUCUUGGCUAUGCCAUUUGCUCAAUUUGGCAAGACUUCUUUGAGCCUCAGUUUCCACAUAUUUCAAACUGAGGCCAAUUAACCAUAUACUUUAUGAGAGUUGUAAAAUUUUAAUGAAAUGUGGAGAUAAAAUGUGAAAUACAUAGGACAGUUCUUGGCCUACACUAAGCAUUAAAUGAAUGCUGGUGAAUAAGAUGCUGAGAUGAUUGGCUGUAGUGAUGUCCCCAUGACCUCAAGGAGUUUAAUAGAGACAGAUCUGAAAAUACCUAUACAUAUAAGGAAUAACAGAUGCUAUAAUAAACAUCCACACAAAGUUCAUAAGUUCAUUGGAGGUCCCAAGGAAGCAUGGUUGAUUUCACCUGGGAAUGAAGGUGUAGAAAAUUAAGAAGAUAUUUACAAAGAGGCAGUCUUGAAAGCGACUGGCAUUUGCUGCAUAGAUACAGCCCAGCUAAUUCUAAAGAGGCAUGAGCAAAGCACAGCUAACAUUCUCACAUGGCUUAUGAAGGAUGAGAGUGAUUUUACUGAGUAGAAAUGAAGGAAGGUUAUUCCAGGUAUAUGCUAUGAUAUAAACAAGGACUUUGGGUUGUAGUUGUUUAUUCGGGAAAUGCAUGCAUUUAUAUUGUAUUUAAUACACUAGGGAACACAGGUUGACAGGUGGGGCAGGUGCAAGAAAUGAAGCUGAUAGGCAGGUGGAACAAAGCUCAUAGAGCUUGAAACUCCACCAGGCCAGUGAUAUGAAUGCCAUGCUCCUAAGACCCAUCUGGUGGCAGAGUGGAGCCUGGAUUGGUUAAGACAGAGCUGGAGACCAGAAACAAGUCUAUUGCAGUGGUCCAGACCAGAGGGGAUAGACUGAGCUAACGCUAUAAUACUCCACUGUGUAACAUAAACAUCCUCUUGUCUGUGGGCACUUAAUUUUAAACUGUCUCUGCUCUGAAUAUUGCUAUGGUUUGCAUCUUUAUCUGUAUAAAUGCAUUUCUUUCCUUCAGAUAUUUUCUUUAAGAUAAAGGGCACAAACAUCCGCAAUACUCUUGACAAUUAUAGGUAAAUUUGUUUCAAAUGGGUUUUCUAAAUUGCAUUUUCGCCAGGGUCCGUUGGUGUGUGGCCUUCACAGCACACUGGUAACAUUGAGUGCUGCCAUUCUUUUCCUUGUUGUUGUAGAAAGCAUAAAGCUGUUGUUUUAAUUUGCCUUUCCUUGAUAUCUACAGAAACUAAAUGUUUUCCCCAUUUGUCUUCUAAUUAUGUGUCCUCACUUGUGAAUUGCGUGUCCUGUCCUCUGCCCAUUUGAUAAGCAAUUGUGUUAAAUCCUUUUUUGGCUAGCCUCUCUUCUGGCAACUCUCCACAUACACAUUUCCCCACAGGCUCUCUUUCUAAUUUCUUUUCUCUUUGAUCUAUUGAAACCAAAUCCUUUUUCUAACUCCAUAUUACAAUAGACAUAACAAUUCUAAUUGCUCUAUUGAUUCAUGGCCACUACAGUGGUGGGCACAUUAGGAAGAACAAGAUUUUGCUCUGAUUUAAAAAGCCUGGCUUCAUGCUGUCAAACUGUGUGGUUUGGUGCAAGCAUCUUAAUCUCUGAACUGGUUUGCUUACCUGUGAAGUGGGAACAGUAGAAUGUGUUGGGAUGGAUUAGAAACUAUAUUAGGCCAUUGAUAGCAGAGACCCAAAUACUUAAAAAACAUGGUAGUCUAUUCUUUUACGUUAAAUUAUUUCGGAGGCGAGGAGCUCAGGGGUAGCAGAGUAAUUCCAUGAAGCUCUUCCUCUGCCUAUAGUGUAUUUGUGGGGUUAAGUUGUGGAAUUGGGUUGUGGCAUUUGGACAGUCUUAUUCCUCAAAACUGGAGAAGCAAGUGGGUAAUCUGGAAUAGUGGCAAAUCUGAACCUACUCGCUGAACAGAUAUUUAAAUAUCUGUUAUAUGCAGAACUCCAAGGUUUUUCUAAUGGAAAAUACCCAUUAGAAAUGGGUAAGUCAAAUAAGAGAAUCUUUGUUAUUUUUUGUCUAAAUCUUGGAGAAUGAUCUCCUCCUUCUUUAGGAAUGCCCAGACUUGGAAGCUCUGUGGUCUUCUACAUACUUGCCCAAGUAUCCUUACAAAAACUCCCAUCCCAUAAUAAGUGACUAGAGUAUUGUUC